rnacentral:rRNA from 1 species
UACGUAGGGGCCAAGCGUUGUCCGGAUUUAUUGGGCGUAAAGAGCGUGUAGGCGGCCAUACAGGUCAGCUGUGAAAACUCGAGGCUCAACCUCGAGACGUCGGUUGAAACCGUAUGGCUAGAGUCCGGAAGAGGAGAGUGGAAUUCCCGGUGUAGCGGUGAAAUGCGCAGAUAUCGGGAAGAACACCCGUGGCGAAGGCGGCUCUCUGGGACGGUACUGACGCUGAGACGCGAAAGCGUGGGGAGCGAACAGG